AGUGAACGCUGGCGGUAGGCCUAACACAUGCCAGUCGAACGGCAGCACAGUAAGAGCUUGCUCUUACGGGUGGCGAGUGGCGGACGGGUGAGGAAUACAUCGGAAUCUACUUUUUCGUGGGGGAUAACGUAGGGAAACUUACGCUAAUACCGCAUACGACCUACGGGUGAAAGCAGGGGAUCUUCGGACCUUGCGCGAUUGAAUGAGCCGAUGUCGGAUUAGCUAGUUGGCGGGGUAAAGGCCCACCAAGGCGACGAUCCGUAGCUGGUCUGAGAGGAUGAUCGGCCACACUGGAGCUGAGACACGGUCCAGACUCCUACGGGAGGCAGCAGUGGGGAAUAUUGGACAAUGGGCGCAAGCCUGAUCCAGCCAUACCGCGUGGGUGAAGAAGGCCUUCGGGUUGUAAAGCCCUUUUGUUGGGAAAGAAAAGCAGCAGGUUAAUACCCCGCUGUUCUGACGGUACCCAAAGAAUAAGCACCGGCUAACUUCGUG
rnacentral:rRNA from 1 species